rnacentral:rRNA from 1 species
CUACGGAAGGCAGCAGUGGGGAAUAUUGGGCAAUGGUCGCAAGACUGACCCAGCCAUGCCGCGUGCAGGAAGAAGGCGCUCAGCGUUGUAAACCGCUUUUAUCAAGGAAGAAAAAGUUCUUGCGAGAAUAAUUGACGGUACUUGAGGAAUAAGCCACGGCUAACUGCGUGCCAGCAGCCGCGGUAAUACGUAGGUGGCAAGCGUUGUCCGGAUUUAUUGGGUUUAAAGGGUGCGUAGGUGGCUUGGUAAGUCAGCGGUAAAAGACGGCAGCUUAACUGUUAGUGCGCCGUUGAUACUGCCAAGCUUGAGUAAAGUUGAGGUGGGCGGAAUGAAUAGUGUAGCGGUGAAAUGCAUAGAUAUUAUUCAGAACGCCAAUUGCGAAGGCAGCUCACUUAGUUUUCACUGACACUGAGGCACGAAAGCGUGGGGAUCAAACAGGAUUAGAUACCCGAGUAGUC